AUCCGCUCGCAAACUUCCUCUUUCAUCUAAUCAAUUCGUGCGGUGUAGACGUGAUUCCGUCUUUGCUGCCGUGAAAAUGAGAGCCAAGUGGCGUAAGAAGCGUAUGCGGAGGUUGAAGCGUAAGCGCAGGAAGAUGCGUGCGAGAUCCAAGUAAACCCCCGGCCGGUACUCCCUUCUACCGAUAAGCUGUGCGGAGGACCUCGAUCACCGUAGAUAUCGCACCAGGGUGGCAUCAUUCCAGACACCGCUUUGGAUGGUGAAGCUUUUCAUCAUUCUUGCAGUGUGUUUGCUUGAACAGUUUACAUUUGGAAUUAUAACAAUCCAAAUAAAAGCCGUGAGGAGCGGACAAUGUGCUUCCGGGGACGAUGGAUCCGGUCGAACACUGAAUAACUCUUAAAA